AGGGGUUUGAUCUUGGCUCAGAAUCAACGCUGGCGGCGUGCCUAACACAUGCAAGUCGAGCGAGAAAAGGAACUUCGGUUCCCGAGUACAGCGGCGCACGGGUGAGUACAACGUGGGUAAUCUGCCCCGGAGCGGGGAAUAACACCGGGAAACCGGUGCUAAUACCGCAUACGAUCACAGCAUCCUCGGAAGCUGUGAUGAAAGGCUUCGGCCACUCUGGGAGGAGCCCACGCCCGAUUAGCUAGUUGGUGAGGUAAUGGCUCACCAAGGCAACGAUCGGUAGCCGGUCUGAGAGGACGGUCGGCCACACUGGAACUGAGACACGGUCCAGACUCCUACGGGAGGCAGCAGUGGGGAAUUUUUGACAAUGGGGGAAACCCUGAUCAAGCAACGCCGCGUGGAUGAUGAAGUAUCUCGGUACGUAAAAUCCUUUCGACAGGGAAGAAGCCUUCGGGUUGACGGUACCUGUAGAAGAAGCCCCGGCUAACUCCGUGCCAGCAGCCGCGGUAAUACGGGGGGGGCAAGCGUUGUUCGGAUUUACUGGGCGUAAAGGGCGCGUAGGCGGUUCGUUAAGUCGGAUGUGAAAACUCUGGGCUCAACCCCAGAGCCUGCAUUCCGAUACUGGCGGACUAGAGUGCGAGAGGGGAAAGCGGAAUUCCUGGUGUACGGGUGAAAUGCGUAGAUAUUAGGAGGAACACCCGGCGGCUGAUGCGGCUUUCUGGAUCGCAACCUG
rnacentral:rRNA from 1 species